GAAAUGCGAUAAGUAAUGUGAAUUGCAGAAUUCAGUGAAUCAUCGAAUCUUUGAACGCAUCUUGCGCUCCUUGGUAUUCCGAGGAGCAUGCCUGUUUGAGUGUCAUUUAACUUAUCUCAACUGCAUCAUUUUUGUUUGAUGUGGCUUGGAUGUGGGGGGAUUUUUGCAGGCUCAGAAAUUGAAGUCGGCUCCCCUGAAAUGCAUUAGUGGUAUCUGAGCUGCUAUUUGGUGUGAUAAAUUAUCUAUGCCUUUGGUAUGCUGGUCAGCACCGCUUAUAACAACAAAAUUAAAUUUGACAAAUUUGACCUCAAAUCAGGUAGGACUACCCGCUGAACUUAA
rnacentral:misc_RNA from 1 species